rnacentral:rRNA from 1 species
AGAGUUUGAUCAUGCCUUUAAUUGAACGCUGGCGGAAUGCUUUACACAUGCAAGUCGAACGGCAGCAUAGGUGCUUGCACCUGAUGGCGAGUGGCGAACGGGUGAGUAAUACAUCGGAACGUGCCCAGUCGUGGGGGAUAACGUAGCGAAAGUUACGCUAAUACCGCAUACGAUCUACGGAUGAAAGCGGGGGACCGUAAGGCCUCGCGCGAUUGGAGCGGCCGAUGUUAGAUUAGGUAGUUGGUGGGGUAAAGGCUCACCAAGCCGACGAUCUAUAGCUGGUCUGAGAGGAUGAUCAGCCACACUGGGACUGAGACACGGCCCAGACUCCUACGGGAGGCAGCAGUGGGGAAUUUUGGACAAUGGGCGCAAGCCUGAUCCAGCCAUUCCGCGUGCAGGACGAAGGCCUUCGGGUUGUAAACUGCUUUUGUACAGAACGAAAAGGCUCUGGUUAAUACCUGGGGCUCAUGACGGUACCGUAAGAAUAAGCACCGGCUAACUACGUGCCAGCAGCCGCGGUAAU